rnacentral:rRNA from 1 species
AUUGAACGCUGGCGGCAUGCCUUACACAUGCAAGUCGAACGGUAACAGGUCUUUCGGGAUGCUGACGAGUGGCGAACGGGUGAGUAAUACAUCGGAACGUGCCUAGUAGUGGGGGAUAACUACUCGAAAGAGUGGCUAAUACCGCAUGAGAUCUAUGGAUGAAAGCAGGGGACCUUCGGGCCUUGUGCUACUAGAGCGGCCGAUGGCAGAUUAGGUAGUUGGUGGGAUAAAAGCUUACCAAGCCUACGAUCUGUAGCUGGUCUGAGAGGACGAUCAGCCACACUGGGACUGAGACACGGCCCAGACUCCUACGGGAGGCAGCAGUGGGGAAUUUUGGACAAUGGGCGCAAGCCUGAUCCAGCAAUGCCGCGUGCAGGAUGAAGGCCUUCGGGUUGUAAACUGCUUUUGUACGGAACGAAAAGUCUUGGGUUAAUACCCUGGGAUCAUGACGGUACCGCAAGAAUAAGCACCGGCUAACUACGUGCCAGCCGCCGCUGUAACAC